CUAUUUAUCUUUUGAGCUUUAUCAAAAUAACAAGAAACCCGACAACUUCCUGUGAUGAAAUCAUAAUCAUCAACAUAAGAAUAUCAUUCAGUUUUCAGUGAAUUCCAUCCAGCUCAGUUGGAUUUUGUAACAGUUGUACAAAUAUGGCAACUACAGUUAGACUACUAUGCCUUUUCAUUGUUCCAAUAUCAUGCUUCAACGUUGAAAGGCAUCUGGACAUGUGGUGUCAAGAACCGCUCAAAUAUUUGAAUUUUAAAUCAAUUAAUGCAUACCCGAACCUAGAAUGGUAUAAAAAAGAAUUAGAAUAUAGAUGUGCAAUCGGUGUAAGACACAUACCCAAAAAAAUCUGGACCGCCAAUCUGACAGAACUGUUUCGACAACCUUUAAAAUCCAGAUUGAAAGUCUUGAAGAUAUCGGAUGGACUGCAGAUAUCGGACGAGAAUUUUUUCACGUUAGAGUCUAAAUUGAAGUACCUGGAUUUAUCUGGAAACGACCUGGAUUAUUUGAGGAUGCCAGAAGUGGAACCUUCUGAGAUAAUGUUUUCUUCAACCUUCCAUAAUCUUUACGCUCUCGAUUUAUCAAAAAACAAAUUCACAAAUCUUUCAUUCAUAAAAACUAAUAUGACUAAAUUGAAAGAAUUGGAUAUCAGCGAAAACAGAUUCCAAGAGGUCCCUCUAGGUUCUCUGCUUCAUUUUGAGAAUUUACAAGUACUUCUCCUCAAGAAAAAUAACAUAACCACCUUCCAAAAUACAAAUAUGAAAUACUCGAAUAUAAAUUAUCUAGAUUUGUCUUACAAUCAUUUGGUAGAUCUCUCCGGCUGUGAACAGUUAGUUAAAUUGAAAGUCCUGAUAGUAAGUAACAACAAUAUUGAAAUAAUUGAUGCAAAUUUCUUCAAAGGAGAUAUUUGGAGUUUGGGAGAGCUUCAUUUGGAUCAUAAUAACAUAUCAGAAAUUACGGAAGAUGCUUUUAAAUAUUUUCCCAAUCUCGAAAAGUUAAUAUUGGAUAACAACAGAAUUGUAAAACUGCAAACCGGGGUUUUCUCUCAUCUGGAAAGAUUAGAAACAUUGGAUGUUUCUCAUAAUUUGAUAACUUCCUUAGACGGAACGUUGUACUUGAAAAAGAAGAAAUUAGCGGUGUUGAAUCUCAAUAAUAAUUUGAUAGAGACGUUGAAUUAUACUUAUUUGGUCCAUCUAUGUCCAUCAUUAGGAGAGAUAAACAUUUUGGAGAACCAUUUCCGAUGUAACUUCUUGGAAUCUAUGCUAUCGUUUUUCUCAAGGAAAAAUAUAUUUUCACCAGGAGGAUUUGACUGUCUUCAGGAAUACCGUGAAAUAUGUUGUAAAACAGAAGCUGCAACUGCAACAAUCUCAAGAUCCGAUGGAUAUAAUGAGACUGCAAUGGAAUUCGCUAGUAGACAGGUUGAUGCUUCCUAUUGGGUGCAUAAUGAAAUUUCAUACAAUAUGUCAAAAUUUGUUUCAUCUAUGGAGGAGAGAACUAAUGCUCUCUUGAAAAUAUCCAUCUAUCAGUUCGCUUUUAUUGCUUCUGUUGUAUUGCUAGUUUUUGUUAUUUAUGCCUAUGGUCAAUAUGAAAAAAAGAAUGUUGAAUCUGAUUUCAAAUCAGCAGAGAUGCAUAAAAUGAUUUGAUUCAAUAUUUUCCGCACAUUACCAUCAAUUGAAAUUGGUUCUAGUUUCAUAAUACCGAAAUAACUUCUGAAUAAUUCCACUGAUCGUUUGUUGAUUUGAAUAUCAUUCGAUAUUGCCUAUUGUUUUUGCUAUUCUUGGGACAGAUACUGAGAACCUUCAACCUAAACUUUGUUGGAUUUUAACUGUGAGUUGCUUAAAUUUUAAUUCCCUUGUCAGCUUGGGCAUAAUGAUGAUACGUUUUGAAAUGCUGAAAGCCAUAUAUUUAUUGGUUUUUUCAAUGCCCUACUGUCUGAAUCAAGAAUCCGAAGAAGUUAUUACCUUGGAAAAAGUAAGGAUUGUCAAUUACACAGGGCCUUUUAACGAACAUAUGCUGGGUACUUAUUUUGAUCGAGUUGAAAAUCUUCAGAUCCAAAGCAGCAAUAUCUCCGAUCUCACCAAGAGCACACUCAAGCUGCUGUCUAAGCUAGAAAACUUGACAAUUUCGGAUUCCACCAUUCAUAAAUCUGAAGAUGACGUCUUCGUUGAUUGCUGUCCAACAUUGAGAAACUUGAAGGUGAAUAAUUGGUUGAAUUUCAAGGAUGAAGACCUUCAAGGUAUUGGUCUGUUACCGUUGGAGUCUCUGAUCAUAACUCAUCAGAAAUUACCACAGUUAGGAGAUGACAUUUUCAAGAAUUUCGAUUUGAAGUCUCUCUCUUUGGACAAUAAUGGCAUAAAAAAUUUAUCGAAUGGGGUUUUUGAUGACCUUCAUCAGCUAGAAAGCCUGUCAAUCAGCUGGAACGAACUUGAUGAAGUUCCUAAAGAUGCAUUAGCCCCACUCAAGAAAUUGAGGACUCUCUACUUAGAAACUGAUAAGUUUGACAGGUUUUCCCUGUUAAAUUUGACGUUCUUACCUGAAUUGAAAGAGAUUUUUCUUACAAAGAAGAAAAUGAUAGAGGUGAAUUUAUGGCGAAUUGAAGAGAAAGCUCCGAAACUCAAAGAUGUAUUCUUAAUAGGAGACGAUAAAGUUCGUAAAGAAAAUAAUACAGGACCUACAAUACAUUAUUGAAAAAUAUUAUCUCUUUUAUGUUCAUAUAUUAUUCAGGAAGAUGUCUCCUUUGUGAUUUUUUUUUUCAUGCUUCAUCAAUUCAAUUAUUAUCGAAUGAAAUUAUUAUGCCAUUGACUUAAGAUCAACACUGAUAUUGUUUGUAUAAAAAAUAUAUCAUACUGAGUA